CCCUUAGAUGUUCUGGGCCGCACGCGUGCUACACUGAGUGGAUCAGCGGGUCAGGUUGCGCGAAAGCGUUUCCUAAUCUUUAAAUCCGCUCGUGAUGGGGAUUGACGGUUGCAAUUUUCUGUCAUGAACGAGGAAUACCUUGUAAGCGCGGGUCAUCAUCCCGCGCUGAAUACGUCCCUGCCCUUUGUACACACCGCCCGUCGCUACUACCGAUUGAAUGGUUUAGUGAGGACUCCUGAUUGGCGCCGCCGCCCCGGCAACGGAGCAGCGGACUGCCGAAAAGUUGUUCAAACUUGAUCAUUUAGAGGAAGUAAAAGUCGUAACA
rnacentral:rRNA from 1 species